rnacentral:lncRNA from 1 species
UGGAGACUCCUUAGUUCACCUCCUUGGGGUUCUCUGGUCAUUUAUGUAUUUGUGCUUCUCCAACCAAGAUAAAAAGAGGAAGAAAGAGGUUGAUUGAUCUUGGGUUAUGAAAAGAUUUCUUAGUAAGGAAGGGGUCAGAAAACUCAGUGGGCAGCCAGAUCAUGCCUUUUAUCAGUAUGAUUUGGAAGACAUCCAAAGAUAAACUGAGGUGUUCUUUACAACAUAAGGACUGGACUCUAGGUAGGAAAAUAAUUCAAAAGUUUUAGUGGAAAAGAAAAUUAUGUGUUAGAGGACAGACAGUCACAGAUGUAUGCAAUUAAAUCUGUGUACUAACUGAAUGAGAGGUGCGUUUGCUUGUAUUGCAUUUCUCCAAUGCCCGGUCCAUGCUCUAAACUCAAUGCCUUGUGAUUCUCAAAUAUAGCCACUCUGAGAAUCAGAAUCCCAGCUCUGCUGAUCUGCCUUGUUUCUGUGACUUCACAGAGCUUCUCUAAGCAGUCUGGACUCAGAUUUCUCAUCUGUGAAUGGAAGAAAUCCACCACUGUAUCCUGAAAAUAUUAAACUUAUGAGAAAAGAGGUAUUGGGACAACAUCAACUUACUGAUGAGAGGCAUAAAGAAGGCCCCUUCUAAUUCGGCUUGGAAAUCCAACUCCAAGACUCCAUCAGAUCGUGUGUUUUCUAAUUGCACUUUCAUCAUACAUAUGCCCUUCUUAUGUGUCCCACAGUAAAGCAAAGAUGGGGACUGCAUUGAUUCCUUUGUAAAGGCUCCUCUUCCAAUCAUGAAGAAUGUUCUCUUAUAAUCUAAACACCUCUGAAAUGCUUUAGAUUCUAAUUUACUUUCUCUGGUAAAUCUAGAUGUUCUCUAUAUCAAGCUUUAACAGUCAACCUCACAUCUUUAAGCAAUUUGAUAUUUUACUCUGUGAAGCAUUUGAAUCCCAAACAAUUUGGGUACCAUGGAAAUUGAAUAUCUCAAUACAGCAAUCAAGGAGGAAUGUCCACAGCCCCAGACUCUUGAGCCAGACUCUAAACACCAGGAUGAAGACUCCAGCACCUCCCUUCUCAGACCUUUGGCUUCUUUAGAAGGAGACGGUUACUCAAAUGUGCUUGGAGUCUUGAA